rnacentral:rRNA from 1 species
UACGGGGGGAGCAAGCGUUGUUCGGAUUUACUGGGCGUAAAGGGCGCGUAGGCGGCCAGUGCAAGUCAGUUGUGAAAUCUCCGGGCUUAACUCGGAAAGGUCAACUGAUACUGCUCGGCUAGAGUGCGGAAGGGGCAAACUGGAAUUCUUGGUGUAGCGGUGAAAAUGCGUAGAUAUCAAGAGGAACACCUGCGGCGAAGGCGGGUUGCUGGGGCCGACACUGACGCUGAUGCGCGAAAGCUAGGGGAGCGAACGGG